rnacentral:tRNA from 2 species
GCCCGGAUGGCGGAAUGGCAGACGCAGGGGACUCAAAAUCCCCCGAUCGCAAGGUCGUGUGGGUUCAAGUCCCACUCCGGGCACCA